CCGAGUGAGGGUCCCUUGCGGGCCCAACCUCCCAACCCGUGUCUAUCUGCAUCUGUGUUGCUUCGGUGGGCCCACUGGGGGUCUGAUCCCCAGUCGCCCGGGAGGGUUUCUGCUCCUGGGCCCGUGCCCACCGAGGAUUCCAUGAAAAACUCUUGUCUGAUUGUGAGUUGGUCUGAGUGAGGGAUAGUAAUGGUAA
rnacentral:misc_RNA from 1 species